rnacentral:tRNA from 1 species
UCAGGCGUAGCUCAGUAGGUAGAGCAGGUGACUGUUAAUCACCCUGUCGGGGGUUCGAAUCCCUCCGCCUGAGCCA